UACGAAGGGGGCUAGCGUUGCUCGGAAUUACUGGGCGUAAAGGGCGCGUAGGCGGCCAGAUUAGUCAGGCGUGAAAGCCCUGGGCUCAACCUGGGGACUGCGCUUGAUACGGUUUGGCUUGAGGACGGAAGAGGCUCGCGGAAUUCCCAGUGUAGAGGUGAAAUUCGUAGAUAUUGGGAAGAACACCGGUGGCGAAGGCGGCGAGCUGGUCCGUACCUGACGCUGAGGCGCGAAAGCGUGGGGAGCAAACAGG
rnacentral:rRNA from 1 species